rnacentral:hammerhead_ribozyme from 1 species
AUCCAGCUCAUGAAUCGCGAAUAGGACGAAACACGCGUCCUGGAU